GAUGAACGCUGGCGGCGUGCUUAACACAUGCAAGUCGAACGGGAAACUUUUCAUUGAAGCUUCGGCAGAUUUGGUCUGUUUCUAGUGGCGGACGGGUGAGUAACGCGUGGGUAACCUGCCUUAUACAGGGGGAUAACAACCAGAAAUGGUUGCUAAUACCGCAUAAGCGCACAGGACCGCAUGGUCCGGUGUGAAAAACUCUGGUGGUAUAAGAUGGACCUGCGUUGGAUUAGCUAGUUGGCAGGGUAACGGCCUACCAAGGCGACGAUCCAUAGCCGGCCUGAGAGGGUGAACGGCCACAUUGGGACUGAGACACGGCCCAGACUCCUACGGGAGGCGGCAGUGGGGAAUAUUGCACAAUGGGGGAAACCCUGAUGCAGCGACGCCGCGUGAAGGAAGAAGUAUCUCGGUAUGUAAACUUCUAUCAGCAGGGAAGAUAGUGACGGUACCUGACUAAGAAGCCCCGGCUAACUACGUGCCAGCCGCCGCAGUAA
rnacentral:rRNA from 1 species